CCAUCUUGGCAUCUCCUUCUAGGGAGACCUGAACUGACAAAAUAGCUUCAGAACUCCAUCCCACCAAAGGUCAUUUUGUUUAGUCUUCUGCUUCUAGCCUGAGCUGUCUGGCCUCACAAGACUGAAGAGAUGGAAACCCCUCUCCUUAAAGGCCUGGGAACAAUGUUCUUACUCGCUGUCCUGAGGCAGGGGAGGGUGAGAAGAAGCUCUCCAGAGAGUCUACCCUGCCUGGUGCACCCAACCCCCAACCAGGACACCAAACCCAGGGCUGUCUUGCUUGUUCUCUGGGCCCCUGAAGCUGGGCUUUCUGCUGUGCACAAGAAGCCUGAGGCAGAAGAGGGCUCUGCAUCUGCCAGUGCCCACUGUGAGGCUCCCUGGGUGCCUCUGUCUUCAGGAGAUUCUUACAGCCCUCAGCAAAGCAUCUGAGCUCUGAGGCUCUGAGGCCCUGCUCAUUCUGGAGGUAGUGAUCAGUACUUUCCACAGCCUGUCAUAUACAGCAGCCUGGAGUAUUCGAAGUUCAUGAUGGUAAGUGGCAGAGUGGGGCACUGGAACCUGCAUCUGUGUGACAUUCCUCGAUCAGGCUGUGGGGUCCUCUUUGUAAUCCUAAUCUCUCAUAAGGCAUGGAGCCACCAUCCCCCAUUACCCUUUCCAGACACAUCUCUACCUAUGCUCCACCCCAUCCCUGGUUGCUUUGUCUCUGAGCCUCCCCCUUGACAGCUGUGAGGAGGGGGCCCAGUGCUGGCCCCAGCUGGAGCUC